UACGUAGGGUGCAAGCGUUGUCCGGAAUCAUUGGGCGUAAAGCGCGCGCAGGCGGCAUGGCAAGUAAGGUGUGAAAUCUCCCUGCCUAACGGGGAGGGUGCACUUUAGACUGCCAAGCUAGAGGACGGUAGAGGGGGGUAGAAUUGCUGGUGUAGCGGUGAAAUGCGUAGAGAUCAGCAGGAAUACCCGUGGCGAAGGCGGCCCCCUGGGCCGAACCUGACGCUGAGGCGCGAAGGCUAGGGGAGCGAACGGG
rnacentral:rRNA from 1 species